rnacentral:rRNA from 1 species
AAGGGCGCGUAGGUGGUUACUUAGUCGGAUGUGNAAGCCCAGGGCUUAACCUUGGAAUUGCAUUCGAUACUGGUAACUAGAGUGUGGUAGAGGGUAGCGGAAUUUCUGGUGUAGCGGUGAAAUGCGUAGAUAUCAGAAGGAACAUCAAUGGCGAAGGCAGCUACCUGGGCCAACACUGACGCUGAGGCGCGAAAGCAUGGGGAGCAAACAGGAUUAGAUACCCUGGUAGUCCAUGCCAUAAAC